AACGAACGCUGGCGGCAUGCCUAACACAUGCAAGUCGAACGGGAUCCUGGUUUCGGCCAGGUGAGAGUGGCGGACGGGUGAGUAACGCGUGGGAACCUGCCCAGUGGUGGGGGAUAACUGCGGGAAACUGCAGCUAAUACCGCAUGAGCCCGAAAGGGGAAAGAUUGAUCGCCAUUGGAGGGGCCCGCGUUCGAUUAGGUAGUUGGUGAGGUAACGGCUCACCAAGCCUUCGAUCGAUAGCUGGUCUGAGAGGAUGAUCAGCCACACUGGGACUGAGAUACGGCCCAGACUCCUACGGGAGGCAGCAGUGGGGAAUAUUGGACAAUGGGGGCAACCCUGAUCCAGCAAUGCCGCGUGAGUGAUGAAGGCCUUGGUGUAAG
rnacentral:rRNA from 1 species